AACGAACGCUGGCGGCAGGCCUAACACAUGCAAGUCGAGCGAAGCCUUCGGGCUUAGCGGCGGACGGGUGAGUAACGCGUGGGAACGUGCCCUUUGGUACGGAAUAGCCCCGGGAAACUGGGAGUAAUACCGUAUGUGGUCGAGAGACGAAAGAUUUAUCGCCAAAGGAUCGGCCCGCGUUGGAUUAGGUAGUUGGUGGGGUAAUGGCCUACCAAGCCGACGAUCCAUAGCUGGUUUGAGCGGAUGAUCAGCCACACUGGGACUGAGACACGGCCCAGACUCCUACGGGAGGCAGCAGUGGGGAAUCUUAGACAAUGGGGGGAACCCUGAUCUAGCCAUGCCGCGUGAUCGAUGAAGGCCUUAGGGUUGUAAAGAUCUUUCAGUGGGGAAGAUAAUGACUGUACCCACAGAAGAAGCCCCGGCUAACUCCGUGCCAGCCGCCGCCGUAAUAC
rnacentral:rRNA from 1 species